rnacentral:rRNA from 1 species
AUUGAACGCUGGCGGCAUGCCUUACACAUGCAAGUCGAACGGUAACGCGGGGCAACCUGGCGACGAGUGGCGAACGGGUGAGUAAUGCAUCGGAACGUGCCCAGUUGUGGGGGAUAACUGCUCGAAAGAGCAGCUAAUACCGCAUACGACCGGAGGGUGAAAGCGGGGGAUCGCAAGACCUCGCGCAAUUGGAGCGGCCGAUGUCGGAUUAGCUAGUUGGUGGGGUAAAGGCCCACCAAGGCGACGAUCCGUAGCUGGUCUGAGAGGACGACCAGCCACACUGGGACUGAGACACGGCCCAGACUCCUACGGGAGGCAGCAGUGGGGAAUUUUGGACAAUGGACGCAAGUCUGAUCCAGCCAUGCCGCGUGCGGGAAGAAGGCCUUCGGGUUGUAAACCGCUUUUGUCAGGGAAGAAAUCUUCUGGGUUAAUACCUCGGGAGGAUGACGGUACCCGAAGAAUAAGCACCGGCUAACUACGUGCCAGCCGCCGCAGUAACAC